AGCGAUAUAGUGUAAAGGUAUGCACAGCAGUCUCAUGAACUGUUAGAUCUGGUUCAAACCCAGAAUUCGCUA
rnacentral:tRNA from 1 species